AUGAUUCUCCCAUGUUUUCUCAACCGUUUUCCUCUGGAAAACGUCAGUCGUUGCUGGUUGGGUACUUAUUACGUUUCCAGAAUUGUUGCUCGGAAACGCAUUACAAUUACGCCUUACGUGUUCUCAAAUACUUGUACCUAUUCAACAAAAGACCUCAAACUAACUUUCUCUCAUAAUCCUAAAGGAAUACAAUUAGAUGCUUUUUCAGAUUCUGAUCAUAGAUCCGAUCCUAUCGAUCGUAAAUCAACUUCAGGCAUUCUAAUUCGUUUAAACCAUAUACCAAUCUUGUGGAAAUCCCAAAAACAACAGGUUGUAUCAAAAGCAUCGACACAUGCAGAGUACUAUGCGCUAUCGGAAACAGCAACUGAAUUGCUUGAAAUUAUAGUCAUACUGAAAGAUUUUCAAAUUAUUUUUAAACAACCCAUUCCAAUCUUUGGAGAUAACAAAGGAGCCUAUGACAUAGGUAGCUUGAAAUGGAAGGUUCCAUAAAAACUCUAAGCAUAUAGAAAUAAGAUAUCAUUUUGUUUAUGACUAUGUUAAGAAAAUAUUAUCAAAAUUAUCAAAAUAAGUAAGGACGACCAACUUGCAGACAUAUUGACCAAACCGUUAGGCAAACAUCUGUUUGAAAUUUUCAGAAAUCGCCUUUCUCUCAAAUAACCGUUCAAUUAUUGUUUGUUCUCCAUUCCUAAAUCAGGAAGGCAUGAUUGCAAGCGUGUUCUAUUGAUUUGUGAACAGGAAUUUUUCUAUUCAAACAAUUGUGGUUGCAAACACAAUUAUAUUUUAAAGAAAACAAAUAAAUAAAAAGAAAAAUGAAUAACGUUAUUUGGUCAAUCAAUCAUAAUAAAAACGAUAAUUAAAUUCCGUCUGAAAUAUGUUCUAUUGUAUAUUCAAUGCUGAAUUCGAAAAGCAAAUGUAUAAAGUGAAAAAGAAAAAUAUAAAUUUUGUUUUGAUCGUCGAUUAAUGUCAUGACAUUACUCGCUAAACCAUAUUAUUGUUAAGAAAAUCAUAACCAAUGAAAUCCAAAGGCUAAUAAUUAAUUUUCUUUAGUACUAUGUCCAAGAAGACAAUUUUUUUGUCAAAUAGCAAUUACUGAUAAUUAACAUGUUUCUUUUGAAUAUUGAUUUUAAUUUAGUAUCUCUGGGAAAACGAUACUAAAUUAGGGAGGCAUGUUGGAAUGCAUGAUAGAUUCAUACUUCCCGCAUUCAAUACAAAUCGGUGUUGUACACCGGUGACUCGAGUAGUCACCACCACCUCUCUGUACUGUGCCUAUUAUUAACUUGUUCAUCAUCAUGUCCUCUGCAAUAACGAAUAAACUUUAUCCAUGUGAAUGAAUGCAUCUUUUCCUUCCAAUGAAUCAAUAUAAACUUCCACAGACACAGACUUGUACAAAAAAACAGGUUUUAUUUUUUAAUGUAGUAAGAUAAGAUAAGAUAUGAUAAGAUAAGGUGAAAUGUGCUAGAAUUCUUGGCCUUGAUUUCCCUGCGCAGAAUAGUGUGGACUGAGCACAACUUCACCAUCCUUAUACUUAUAGGUACAUGUCGGGCCGGAUUUUUGGUGUUUUUUAGUGUCUGGCCAUACCUGUAGAUGUGUUUGACCCUUAACUGGGUUCUCACUAUGCAACCCCAUUUGCAUCUUCGCUAUAAGGAACGUCGGUAAGUGAUUCGGUAAGUGACGAUUCUUAAUAGUUAACAACGAUGUUUAUCCUUCAUUUAAAUGUACUUGAAACAAGUCUAUUUUCUAUAGAUUACACUAGGCAACAAAAUUUUGGGUUGAAUUUGCCAAUCAAACGGGACAUGUUUCUUUCUACUCAGGGGGGUCUAAUGAUGACUAAAAUGAAGUCCUAAAAAAUUCUCUAGCUCUGGUUUUCAAAAUACUUAGGGUUUUUUGCAUUUUUAAGGGUAAAUUUUGAGUAUUUAAGGGGAUUAUCAAAUAAUUUAUGGCCAGUUUUAAUAAAUGUUUCCAAUUGACUUUAAACUCGGUCAGCCUCAUUCAGAUGGGUCUACUGAAGACAAAAAUGGGCGCAAAAAAACAGAAAGCAUAUUUUUUAAAUUUUCAGGAUUUUAUUUUAGUCAAAAAAGUAUGUAUUUAGUCUUUUAUGGGGUUUUAGGGGGCUUAGAGCUCUUGAUUCAUGAUUCAACUUUGAAUUGACUUUUUAAACGGCUAGAGACUCUGUAUGUUCUCGCUGUACUGGUCUAUUAAAGCAAAACAUGGGUAUGGAACAAAUAUAUUCUACCGCCUCUGUUUGAAAUUUGGAGGAUUUUUGAGUAAAAAAGGCUCGAUUUUUGUGGGUCUUGAGGCGAUCAGAGCUGUGAUUAGGCUUACAAUUUAAUUUAAAUUUAAAUUAAUUUAAGGCUGAAAAUUAAAAAAAUAGGCUUUCUGUUUUUUUUGCGCCCAUUUUUGUCUUCAGUAGACCCAUCUGAAUGAGGCUGACCGAGUUUAAAGUCAA
rnacentral:lncRNA from 1 species